rnacentral:rRNA from 1 species
CAGCAGCCGCGGUAAUACGUAGGUGGCGAGCGUUGUCCGGAAUCAUUGGGCGUAAAGCGAGCGCAGGCGGUUAGAUAAGUCUGAAGUUAAAGGCUGUGGCUUAACCAUAGUACGCUUUGGAAACUGUUUAACUUGAGUGCAAGAGGGGAGAGUGGGAUUCCAUGUGUAGCGGUGAAAUGCGUAGAUAUUGGGAGGAACACCGGCGGCGAAGGCGGCUUACUGGACGACAACUGACGUUGAGGCUCGAAGGCGUGGGUAGCAAACAGGAUUAGAUACCCCAGUAGUCCCUGUCUCUUAUACA